rnacentral:rRNA from 1 species
UCUACGGGUGGCAGCAGUGAGGAAUAUUGGUCAAUGGGCGGAAGCCUGAACCAGCCAAGUAGCGUGCAGGAUGACGGCCCUACGGGUUGUAAACUGCUUUUAUACGGGAAUAACGCGCCUUACGUGUAGGGCUUUGCAUGUAUCGUACGAAUAAGGAUCGGCUAACUCCGUGCCAGCAGCCGCGGUAAUACGGAGGAUUCAAGCGUUAUCUGGAUUUAUUGGGUUUAAAGGGUGCGUAGGCGGUCGGAUAAGUUAGAGGUGAAAUCCCGAGGCUUAACUUCGGAAUUGCCUCUGAUACUGUUCGGCUAGAGAGUAGUUGCGGUAGGCGGAAUGUAUGGUGUAGCGGUGAAAUGCUUAGAGAUCAUACAGAACACCGAUUGCGAAGGCAGCUUACCAAGCUACUUCUGACGUUGAGGCACGAAAGCGUGGGGAGCAAACAGGAUUAGAUACCCCAGUAGUC